UACGGAGGGGGCUAGCGUUGUUCGGAAUUACUGGGCGUAAAGCGCGCGUAGGCGGACCUGCAAGUCGGGGGUGAAAGCCUGUGGCUCAACCACAGAAUUGCCUUCGAUACUGUAUGGCUCGAGACCGGAAGAGGUGAGUGGAACUGCGAGUGUAGAGGUGAAAUUCGUAGAUAUUCGCAAGAACACCAGUGGCGAAGGCGGCUCACUGGCCCGAUACUGACGCUGAGGCACGAAAGCGUGGGGAGCAAACAGG
rnacentral:rRNA from 1 species